ensembl:lncRNA
AUGUUAAUGCAGCUCCAGCUGAGAAACCAUCAGUGACCACUGGACAACAUCUGGACUGACUGCAACACAAAUAAACAGCAGUGAACGGAGACCACAGGAGAGGGAGACAUCAGAGCUAGCGGCAAAUUCCGGAAGACCUGGCCGAGGUGAGGCAGCUCUCGGCGGGUUCAUGCGCUGAACGCCCGCUGACGCCUUGGAGCUUACGUCUCGGAAAAUAUCGAAGCACCAGUCUAAACAAGCAUCUCACUCAUCGCUCUGUCUUUGAGCUGUCCCCCCAGUGGCCUUUCCCCAACGGAGCUUACAGUUUUCAAUCAGCACUUCCUACUCACCGAGACCGUCCGGAUUUCAUGUGCCUCAGCCCAAGCGGCCUGACAAUAGCUGGACGUGAGCUGAUCACUGCUCCAACUGAGGCCAGAGACUCUGAGUGCAUCUACUGUAUGAUAUAAUUACAGAGAUGACAGUGUGAACCUCUCGCCACAUCCUGAGGCACUGGAAUUUAGGGAGGAAUUGUGCCCUAGUAUUGUUUAUUUGCUCAUGCUGUCUGUCUGCAUUACUUUAGCACCUUAUCCACUAAAGGAAUUAUGCAAAUGAAAAAAAGUGCCAAACCUCAUGGGGUGUGAGGAUUAAGUGGUGGAGGUUGAAUCAAGCAUUCAUACUAGCAUUCUUUAAUGAGACUGUAGAGCAUUACAACAAUAUAAUCACCAGAAAUGUCUACUUAAAAUGCAGAAAAUCCCUCCUGACUACAUAACACAUCUGGAUAUGUACUGUUGAUGAAUUAUUGCUGUCACGGCAACAAUAAUAUGUACACAGGAUCUAGGCCAUAAAAAAAAAAGGUGGCAUGAAGUAAAUUUGUCACUUUUCUUUUCUUUAAUUACUUGCAUAGGAUAGAGUUAAAACCUUAUAUUGGAC